rnacentral:rRNA from 1 species
AGCGAACGCUGGCGGCAGGCUUAACACAUGCCAGUCGAGCGGGCACUUUCGGGUGUCAGCGGCGGACGGGUGAGUAACGCGUGGGAACGUGCCCUCUGGUUCGGAAUAACUCAGGGAAACUUGAGCUAAUACCGGAUACGCCCUUUUGGGGAAAGGCUUGCUGCCGGAGGAUCGGCCCGCGUCUGAUUAGCUAGUUGGUGAGGUAACGGCUCACCAAGGCGACGAUCAGUAGCUGGUCUGAGGGGAUGAUCAGCCACACUGGGACUGAGACACGGCCCAGACUCCUACGGGAGGCAGCAGUGGGGAAUAUUGGACAAUGGGCGCAAGCCUGAUCCAGCCAUGCCGCGUGAGUGAUGAAGGCCUUAGGGUUGUAAAGCUCUUUUAUCCGGGACGAUAAUGACGGUACCGGAGGAAUAAGCCCCGGCUAACUUCGUG